CCUACGGGUGGCAGCAGUCGAGAAUCAUUCACAAUGGGGGAAACCCUGAUGGUGCGACGCCGCGUGGGGGAAUGGAGGUCUUCGGAUUGUAAACCCCUGUCAUGUGGGAGCAAAUUAAAAAGAUAGUACCACAAGAGGAAGAGACGGCUAACUCUGUGCCAGCAGCCGCGGUAAUACAGAGGUCUCAAGCGUUGUUCGGAAUCACUGGGCGUAAAGCGUGCGUAGGCUGUUUCGUAAGUCGUGUGUGAAAGGCGCGGGCUCAACCCGCGGACGGCACAUGAUACUGCGAGACUAGAGUAAGGGAGGGGGAACCGGAAUUCUCGGUGUAGCAGUGAAAUGCGUAGAUAUCGAGAGGAACACUCGUGGCGAAGGCGGGUUCCUGGACAUUAACUGACGCUGAGGCACGAAGGCCAGGGGAGCGAAAGGGAUUAGAUACCCGAGUAGUC
rnacentral:rRNA from 1 species